rnacentral:rRNA from 1 species
GACGAACGCUGGCGGCGUGCCUAACACAUGCAAGUCGAGCGGAGAUCAUAGCAAUAUGAUUUUAGCGGCGGACGGGUGAGUAACGCGUGGGCAACCUACCUUCAACUGGGGGAUAACACAGGGAAACUUGUGCUAAUACCGCAUAACAUCACGAGAUGACAUCAUUUUGUGAUCAAAGGAGCAAUCCGGUAGAAGAUGGGCCCGCGUCCGAUUAGCUAGUUGGUGGUGUAACGGACCACCAAGGCGACGAUCGGUAGCCGAACUGAGAGGUUGAUCGGCCACAUUGGGACUGAGACACGGCCCAGACUCCUACGGGAGGCAGCAGUGGGGAAUAUUGCGCAAUGGAGGAAACUCUGACGCAGCAACGCCGCGUGAAGGAUGAAGGUUUUCGGAUCGUAAACUUCUUUGAUUGGGGACGAAUAAUGACGGUA